UAAUUGUGCUCCAGAGGUUCAACAAAAUGCUGGAUGCUUUGAGUCAGGUAAUGAGAUUAUAAACUUAGUAGAUAGUGAAAAGAUCAGGUUCCUAAUAUAAAUCCUCCAAAGACCUUUCUAAGAUAUAAUUUUCAUUUCGAUUCUGUUUCUUGGCAAAAAAAUCUUCCAACUCCCUCUGAGACUGCAGGCCAAUGCAUGCAUAGUCUGCCUCUGUCUCUAUAAGAAAGCAGACACAAAGGCAAUGCAGUUUGAGUUGGUCAGGUGCCCCAGCAUCUGUGCUUCCAAAGUGACUGUUAAUGUUUUAGGUAAUGGGCACCCUGGUGGUUCUGGCUCAUAUCCAUGUGGCCUGAAAGGCCAUGUACUCUGACACUUUCUGAAAUAGUGUCACUAAAAUCCUGACACUCCUUUUCCUAAUCACUGAUUAAGAAACUGUGAUUGAUUCAAAUAUGAAAUUAUGAUUUCACAAGUCUUUCUAUUAGCCUGGGAACAGAUGUACUGCUAUAUUGCCAGAAUUCGAGUGCUUUGGCUUUGCUCCAAACUGUGCCUUGCACAUAUACCAGUUUUGUUAGAGAAAAGCUUUGUGUACAAAGAAUAAUUAGACAAAUUCUUUAGGUUAUAAAUCUUUUCGUCCUUCUCUACUUAAAAAAAAAAACCCUUGCAACAAAUAAUAUUUUUAAAAUAUUUAUGUGCUUUUUACUCUUUAUAUUUCCUUAUACAUAUUUUUUUCUUUAUUGCCCCAAGGCAUGGUUCUACUUCAAGGCCAGGGGUUAGGGAAGUGCCAGGAGGGUACUACAGCAAUUACAGCAUGACUACAGUUAAGAUUCUUUUUUUCCAACUACUAUUAAAUUUUAAAGUCUCCAGAAAGUCAACCGUGCAAACUAGAGUUUGUCUAUAAAAAUAGUUUGCAUUCAUGUUCUUAUCAUCUUUCUUUUAUUUAAAAUAUAAAGUGGUAACCCUUGUCAACAUGACCGUACAGCUUUACAGAGUGGAAUUCUUUUCCAAACAGGAAGAAAACUGAGGAUAAGCUAUUUCCAGUCCUGACAGAUUGUGGAGAAAAAAAAGAGAAAGUUAAGAAAAAGAGGAGAUGAAAGACAUGUUUAAACAUUGCUUUUCCAAGUUCAAGCCCUCAAGCAGGAAAAUGUGUCUGGAAACCAGAAGUCCAAGAUCAAGGUGUCUGUAGAGUUGGUUUCUGGUGAAGCCUCUCUCCUUGGGUUGCAGAUGGGCAUAUGGCCUUUGCCCUUAUAUAGCCUCUCAUUGGUGUGCACAUGGAGAGAAAUAUAUCUCUGGCCUUCCCCUCCUUUUAAGAACUCCAGUCCUAUUUGAUUAGAUUUCUACCUUUAUUAUCUCAUUUAACCUUAAUUACUUCCUUAAAGGCCCUAUUUCAAAUACAGUUACCUUGAGGGUUAGGCCUUCAACAUAUAAAUGUAAGGGGACACAAUUCAGUUCAUAACAGUAGCUUCUCACCAACAGCUAAUGAGGAUCUGAGGCCCUCAGUCCAUUAGCUAACUAGGAACUUAAUGCUGCCAACAAGCAAUAAGUAAGCUUGGAAACAGAUUCUUUCCCAGUUGAGUCUUCAGAUGAGACUGCAGACCCUGAGCCAAUGCCUUGAUUUUGGGAUUCUGAAAAAUUAUAAAGCCAAGGACACAAAUAAGCCAGGCCAAGAUUCUUGGAGGACAGAAUCUGUGAAAUGGUAAAUAUGUGUUAUUUUAAGGCAUGCAGUUUUGUGGUAAGUUGUUAGACAAUAAUAAAAAACUAAUACAGAGCAGUAGAUUUGCUUAGAGCCAGGAGGUCAUCCAUGGAGUCCAGGAAUCAGGUAAGCACCUUGUGUAGUAAUGAAAAGAGUGAUUUUGCUGAAGCAAACCUUCUGUCUCUUUUCAGUAUGUUAGAGAAGCAGAGAAGUUUUAGUGUGGUUAAGAACAUGGGUCCUAAAAUCAGACAAAUCUGAGUUCUAAUUCCUCUGGCACUUCAUAGCAGUGCAUCUGUGGACAAGCUACUUUAUAGCAAAAGUGAAUGCAGCAUAAGAAAUUCAAAGCAAAGUAGUAUAAUAUUUAAAAUGAUUAUAAUAACUAUGCUGAGCAAUACGUGAAAUAAAGGUGAAUUAUUUGGCAUAUAAGAUGUAUUUAAUUAACAUUAGCUUUUAUUGUUAGCCUGCAAGUAGGAAAAGGG
rnacentral:lncRNA from 1 species